AUGGAGUCUAAGGAUGCUACAUUCUUCGAGGAUAUUUUUCCUAUGAGAGAUAUGCAAAGCACUUCUAGACAGGAAUCUGAGGAGACUCCUGAACCUGCCAUCCCUAUGGAAUAUUAUGAACAAACACAUGAUGAAAAUCCUGAGGAGGAUGACGAGGAAACCCUUGGUAGGGGCAAGAGACAAAGGACUGCAAAGACCUUUGGUGAUGAUUUCUUCGUGUACCUCGUGGAUGAUACUCCCACUUCUAUUUCAGAAGCGUAUGCCUCUUCAGAAGCUGACUACUGGAAGGAUGCGGUCCGUAAUGAGAUGGAUUCCAUCAUGGCUAACGGGACAUGGGAGAUCACUGAACGUCCCUAUGGUUGCAAACCAUUAGGAUGUAAGUAG
rnacentral:rRNA from 1 species